rnacentral:lncRNA from 1 species
AUGAUUUGGAGCUACUGGGAUAGUUCAUCACCUACUCUGCAAAGGCACUGCGUUCCCAUGGCCAAACUCCUAGCCUGGGCAGAGGGACCUGAGUGUCGGUCACUGUGCAAAGACCCAGGAGUCUUGGAAACUGGAUGCCUUUACAGGAGAAAAGGUGAAAACCAUGCUUGGCUGGUUGAACACUCAUGAACCAACAUCACCUUUGUCUCCAAGAGUAAAAGAAAAUGACUUUUCCUGCCAUGACUUCAAGUAAGUGGCUGUUGCAUGCCAUGCCUCACUUGCCAGGCUUUGGGGACAUGGUGCAUAUCUGAACUUCUUUUGCAAAAAAGACACUGUCGAUUUUUGCCUCUACGCAAGAUAAGAUGAAGUUGCUUUUGUGAUACCACUUCAGGCUCAUUCAAAUCAGAGGAACACCAUUCAGCUUACUCAGGGGGGUCACGGACCCUUUUUGGAGCUUAAGGGCUUGGUUCUUGAGGCCUUGCGUGCUAUUGUGUGUCAUCAAUGUAACCUUUAGCCAAGAAUUUUGCUGCUGCAAAAUACAAGCUGGACCUGUAACCCAAGCUGAAUGUACUCUUGAAUGCUGAGAAAUGUGGUGGUUCUUCUCAAGCGAUGGUUGCCAUGCUUGCUUAACUGUCUAAGAGCAAAGACACAAAUACAUCCUUCCUGUGGCUACUGAUCUAGCUAGGCAGGUCAGACCGUGUUUUGCUCAGGAGGCAGAUGGGGACAGGCUUUGAUCCCCAACUGCCUGUUGUUCCAUCAGAGGAUUAACAAUACUUUAUGAUUAAGAAAGAAUGCCUGGCAGGUAAAUGAACCAGAGACUCAUGGAAUAGUCAGUGGAGGACACCUAGGAAAGAUGAGAACAAAGCAGUCAGAGUACGGUGCUUCCUCAGAGUGGUUUCUAAACCUGCAGUGGUUUGACUCAGGAAAUCUGUGGAUCACAGAGGUAUAAUCAUCAUAUUUAAGAUCUUUAUGGGGAUUCUUAUUUCAGAAAAGUGAUUAAACCUUUUAAAUGUGCAAAGUAUUUGACAUUUUACAUAUCUUGCAGUGAGGAGACCC